UGUCCGAGCUCAUCACUAAGG
rnacentral:piRNA from 1 species